UCAUAUUUAAAGAAACCUCCUUGAAGUGAGAGUGGGCUGUGAUUGCUGCAUGGCCGAUUGGAAGCUAUGAUUCAAUUGGCUGGCUGUCAGCUGGUUACAGCUGGGGGCGUAUGACUUCCGUAGAUAAAUAGUAGAUGUCCUUACCACAGAACUGAGCUGACCUCCAGGAGUACACUGUGGCACCUUUCAGCUGGCAGGCGGCUGUGUAGGCGGUGAAAGUCUUGCACUGCAUGUUGCUGCCGCCCUGGUAAAGACAGACAUCAUACAAGCAGUCGUUGAGGAAACCUGCGGGGUCGACCUUGGCGUGGCAGUCACGGAACGGGCCUGCGGGGUCGCUGAUGAGGCCACAGUAACUGUUAGUGCUGUAGGUUUCUUUCUGAGUGGCGUUACAGCCGGGACAUGGGCCUCUGCAGCCGUCUACGCAGCCGGGGAUUGUGGCGACUUUCCAGCUUUGACCGAGCUCCUCAGAGGUGGUGGCUUGUUUCCCAUCUCUCAUCUGCAUGUCGUCUUUGGGGUUGAGGUUGUAAUUGCCACAAAGACCUUGCAUCUUGCCCAUGUACGUACUGGGAACGGUGACUAUUGCUACACUGUUCCAGUCGUAGUACACGCUCACUCCGGAGUCCAUCUCGAUAACAGCAAACCAGCCGCUCGGGUAAAGAUGGAGUUUACUGCUGUUCAGCGUCAAAGGGAGGUAGGAGAGCUCGCCAUUUACCUUAAAAAGAUAAUAGAAAAUGGAAAAAAAAUUGAUAAAGUAAUUUGUAAACUCAAUAAUAAUAAAACAUAGAAUUAGAAAAUAACUACAUGUAUGUAGAGCCACAACAAUUAGUCAAUUAUUCUCUUAGUUUAUUUACAAAAAUGAAUUGGGACCAAUUUUGAUACUAAAACCGUAUAACUCAAUAUAUCUUUGUGUUUUGGACAGCUGAUUGAACAAAACAAGGCAUUCAAUGACGUCAUAUUUAGCUUUAGGAAGUUUCGAUGGGCAUAUUUAAUUGUUUCCUGGUGUUUUAUAUACUGAACAAUUAAUCGAUUAAUUGAUUAUUAAAACAACAACAAUCAUUAGUUGCAGCCCUACAAGUAUGAUGGUUUAUACGUUACCAUAACAGUGCCAGGGUGCUCUUUGCUGAUGACGAUGGUGUCUUCAUCCACUUUGACCUCCACCAGCUGGACAACGGACCCAAUCUUCUUAUCUUGACCAUUAUUCUGCAACACGACGCUAAAAUUUUCCAGGCUGGUUUGAUUGGAGGAGACGGCAGCCAUCUGAUACACACAAGUGCCCUGGAAGUUGUAGCGAUCCCCAUCAAAUGUCACAAAAUGUGGGUCACCAGAUACCAUACACGUUGCGUAGUUGACAGGAUAGCAACCUCUGAUCCCUUCCACUACUUGGCACUGCUGCCCUGCGGGACAGCUAAUCUGAUUGAAAGACAAACUUCCACCAGCGGAGCAUGUGUAGCGUUUGGUGCAGCUCUCACCGCCCCAGAAGGAGGCUCCGGCUUCCACAUAGUGACCCUCAUACAUGCAGCCGCACUGAGCCUGGGGGACACACUUGGUGGCGCUGAGCAUGAAGCCGUCAUUACAGACACAUGUCUCCACACAGGUGGCAUUGCAUGUUGUAGGAGUGUUUGGGUUUGCACAUGUGGCAGGACAGCCACUCCCACAGAACUCAUAGCGGCUGUUUUCUGGGCACUUGGGUGUAGCUGUGUGGACAAAGAAGAGACAGAUCCAGUUAUUCACAUGUAUUCAGUGAUGAAGGAAAUAUUCACAUCCUUUACUUAAAUAAAAGUACUAAUGUAAAAAUACUCUGGUGCUGCAUUGACAAUAUUACUUAAGUAAAUGUAUGUACACUAUGUAAAAUCAGGAAAAUGUACUUAAAGUAUGAAAGUAAAAGUACUAUAUGAGGAAACAUAACCCCUGUGAGCACACUAUUAUUUAUUAUUAGACCUUUAUUAUUAUUAUUACUCAUGCAUUAAUAUAAAACAGUUAUUCACUGUUGUUGUUGUUGAGGUAGAGGUAAGCAUUUUAUAUUGGACUGCAGCUAAUGAUUUUUUUCAUGAUGGAUUAAUCUGACGAACAUUUUCUCCAUUAAUCGAUCAAAAACAGCGAGAAAUGCCGUCUCAAUUAUCCAGAGCCCAAAGGGACACACCCACCAACAGUCCAAAAAAAUUAAAACGAUUAAACAGAAAAGCAACAAAUCUUCCCAUUUGAGAAGCCACAAUCAUAAAGUGUUUUUGCAUAUUUGCAUUAAAAAUUAUUUAGUUGUUGACAAUUUUCUGUCAUUCAACUAAUUGAUUAAUUAACUAGUUAUUUCAGCUGUGUAUAUACUGUUCGGUUGUUUAAUUUAUAACAAAGUGUCAUAUUUUCUAAAUUUAUUGCAAAAAUCUUAUUUUGUUAAGUAACUAGUACUAUAUUAAUGUAUGUUAUUACAAAAUGUAGUGAAGUAGGAGAAGAAAGUGGCAUGAAAAGAAAAAAACUCAACACUUUGGAUUACUCACGGCAUUCAGUCGGAGUCCUCCAGUUGGGACCUUUGGCCCCAGACCUCUGACAGAUUUCAGCGAAGCCUUGAAGAGUGUUGCAGAGAUACGUGUUCACAGUUUCACCUCUGCAGAGGUCAAGCAUGCAGUUACUUUUAAAGAUGCUGGAGUCGAUGUCAGGUUGACAACCCAGAAGUUCUACAAAAUUUAGUAUGAGGGCGCUACAGAAGAUUUGCUUCUGUAAUUUUUGAACUUCAUCGAGAGGACAGAUUUCACACACGUCACAUGCAUCGUGGCAACCGGCAUCGUCUGCGGCACCGGGAACCCUCCAGCUAUUUCCCAGCGCUGCCACGCUGCUGGCCACUGAACCACUGGGAGUGGUGAGAUCAUCUUCCUCUUUGUUGUUGAAGUUGCCACACAGGCCGCACACACUACCGGCAAAACUGCCGGGCACUGUGACGGCGAGGUACUCGUUCCAGUCGUACUGUAGGUUCAGUCCAAAGUCUGUCUCCAUGAUGACAUACAGACCUCUCUGGAAAAGCUUCACCUGGCCAUUGUUCAAGUUGAUCGGGAGAUUCCAUUUUUGAUAGUUCACCUGAAAAUAGAUCCAGUUCCACAUUUAAUACAACAAUAUGUUUGAUAGAGACACCACAUUGCACCUGCCAAAGAUAUUUUCAUUGCUUUGGUUCUUUUUUGUUUGUUUGUUAGAUAGUAGAAUAUCGCCAAAACUAUACAUUUUAAAAGUUAGUCCAGUCAAGGAAGUGAGUAGACAAAAAAAAUGUACGUCUCCUCAACACACAACCAUAAUUACAUUUUGAACAGAAGCCAAAAAGAAGGCCUCUAAAUUUGUGUCAAAUAUUUAGAUUUUUCAUAUUUUACUUUUUUCAGUUACCUAUUAUAUUAUAUUAUGUAAAUGUCAGUAUUAAAGCUUUCUCUACAGUUCUUUACUGAUUUUGUUGUCCUUAUAGUAGUCAUACUAGGUUUAAAAAAAUAAUAUUUUUUUAAUCAGAAGUUCACAAAUAAAAUCUGUGUUUUUAACAAUAGUGGAAUGUAAACUUCUAAAAACUCCAAACUACCACAAAAAUAACUACAACAUGGCCUCUACUGCACUUAAAUGAAUACAAAUAGAAAGCCAAUGCAUCCCAUAUAACAAAAAAAUCAAAGAAUUUUCAACUAUAACAACGAAGAUUAGAAUACUCAGCAUUCAAACAAUGCCAACACACAAAACAUGAAACAGUGCAACACUACUGACUGACUCACCCGAACAAUACCAAACUCAGAGCGAAGUAUUUCGAUGUUGAUCCCGUGAACAUUGAUAGUGACCGUCUCCACUGUCGGGACCUGUACGUUGCCCUCGUUCGCGUUCUUGGUCUCCACCUCAAAGGCCGGGAGGGUGUCAUCAACAUGGCAGUUCUUGGCCAGGGUGUAGGUGCAGUUGCCCGUGAAGGUGUAGUGAUAGUUAUCAAAAGUGUAGUGGAGAGUGCCAAUGACCCAGCAGGUGCCUGACUGUGGUGUUAAAGUAGUUGGUCCUCCUCUGCAAAACCCUGGAAAACAUUAUAAAUGUCUUUAGUGUGUUUUUUCCUGACUGUUUUUUCCAUUGGAUUAUAGUCAACAAAGAAUAAGUUAGGUUCUGCAAAAUGUACUUCAAACAUUUAAGUACGACAUUAUUAAAUGUAUCACCAUAACAAACAGUUGAGUCUCAUUCAGUAUGUGACAAAAGUUAUAUUUCAAUUACUUAAAGCCUUCAAAGAUCCUAGAAUUAAUGUCCACAGUCGAGUCAUCAAUGUAUUGUUUUAUGGUUCACAUUGACAUAAAAUCUUCUACUAUUUAUAGCUGACAAUAUGUAUUGAUUUAUUCUGCAGUCCAAGCUGUUUCUUUAACUUUAUUUGUGAUCUAGUUCAACUCACAUACAGACGUCUAACUGAAACACUUUUCAUUUGUCAUUUUCAUUAUUUAUAAAAUAAUGCUUCAUAACUUACCACUCAGGAGAAGAGCUGAAACGAUUGCAGCAAACACACCCAUGUUUGUCAGUGGAGGGGACCUAAUACCUAAAAAGAAACCAAUAAGUCAGGAAAAUUGUACCUUUUUAACUUUUGGUCAUCCUGCAAGUAAACACAUCUCAAUAGAUAGAUGCCAAAAUGUUGCAAUCCUCAAUUUUGUCUCUUUGUCAUGAACAGUAGAAAUAAAUUCAUUGGAAAAAAAAGAAAUAAAUUACAAGAAAAAGGAAGAGAGAAAUGCAUCAAUUUUGACUUUAGCAUCUGAAAAGACAAAUGCAUACAAAAACCUUUUACAAAAUAGCUAGAGAACAGAAUUGUUAUUUUGUUUAAUACUUUAGUUAUCUAAAUCAUUCUCACCUGUGCUGGUCAACAGGCAUUCGGGGGUUCAGUUGCAGGAUCUGAGGAUCCUUAAAUACUUUCUGACCUCCACCAAUAGACCAAGCUUCUUUAUGUGGCUUUUCCCAGAAGUGAGCAAAUACAGCAUCACGUGACACACGUCUUGAAAACCUUUGUUGACCAGGAGACAAGUUAAUCGUAUUUUACCAGGUCAUAAAGGAGUUCACUGCAGUGAAAAAAACAAGAACUAGUGUAUAAGCACAAGCAAAUUAUGGUCAAAGGGUAAAGCAAAACUACCUAAAACAGGAUGAAAGACCGCUGUGAUUAUUAUACAGAUCAGUUUGAAAUGACUCUUAGUCCCUUUGUUAUAUGUGACUGGUCUGCUGGCUUUGAGCCCAUCCAUUUGACUUCAAAGUGUUACUGUAAAACAUUCAACAAGUAUGAUUUAUUUGUUGACUUUGUGGCAGCUUUGUCACCACCUACAAGAAUCAUGGGUGGGUGUGAGUUGUUUAAAUGCAUAACUCUCAAUACUAUCAUGACUUAUUUCGCAAGGAUCAAGUGGAGCUCUGUUCUGCUGUCCUGCAGGAUAGUGGACAUAUUGGGACAUGGUGGUGUUGUUUCUUAGUUGUACCAACGUUGUGUUUUGUGUGAUGUUAAAAGAUAAAGACUUUAUCUGAUUGUUCUAUUUAUUUUGCAGGAACACAAUUCAAAAGGUAAAAGAGUCUUUGUUUGCACAUAUAUAUAUCUGACAAACACACACAUAUACAGCGGGUAAAAUAAGUAUUGAACACGUCACCAUUUUUCUCAGUAAAUAUAUUUCUAAAGGUGCUAUUGACAUGAACUUUUCACCAGAUGUCGGGAACAACCCAAAUAAUCUAUACAUACAAAGAAAUCCAAACAAAUAAGUUCAGAAAUUAAGUUAUGUGUAAUAAAAUGGAAUGACACAGGGAAAAAGUAUUGAACACGCUCACUGAAAUUUAUUUAAUACUUCGUACAAAAGCCUUUGUUGGUAAUGACGGUUUCAAGACGCCUCCUGUAUGGAGAAACUAGGCGCAUGCAUUGCUCAGGUGUGAUUUCAAAUCUUGAAGGUUCCGUGGGCCUCUCUUCUAUGAACUCUGAUCUUUAGUUCUUUCCCUAGAUUUUAUGUUGGAUUCAAGUCAGCUGAUCAUCGGUGGGCCAUUCUAGCAGCUUCAUUGUAUUUCUCUGAAACCAGUUGAGAGUUUCCUUGGCUGUGUGUUUGGGUUCAUUGUCUUGCUAAAAUGUCCACCCUCGUUUCAUCUUCAUCAUCGUGGUAGAUGGCAGCAGAUUUUUAUCAAGAACAUUUUUCCAUUCAUCCUUCCUUCAAUUAUAUGAAGUUUGCCAGUGCCGUAUGCUGAAAAACAGCCCCGCACAUGAUGUUCCCUCCAAACUUCACUGUUGGUAUGGUGUUUUUGGGGUGAUAUGCAGUGCCAUUUGACCUCCAAACAUGGUGUGUAUUAUGAUAUCCAAAGAGUUAAAUUUUGAUCUCAUCUGACCAGACUAUAUUCUCCCAGUAUUUCACAGGCUUGUCUAGAGAGAGAGAGAUACAGAUCAUGGCAAUGCAAUUAAAUGCAAAUUAAAUCUGUAAAUGCAUAAUAUUAUAUAACAAAUUAAAACAUUUAAAAGGGAACAAAAGUUAAUAUAGACCAGAUACUGAAUGGUAAGAUUCCUAGCUGCACGUAUAACAGUAUUUACUGUAUUUAGAUUGGAACAGCCUCAUGUCAACAUGGAAGAUGUAACAGACAAUAAACUUGGUAACUAACGAAACAUUUAUUGUAUUUGCAGACCUCCUAAAAACCAUAAUGAAAAAAUAACGUGAAAUUUGACAGGAGAGGUCCAGAAGCCACAGGCUGAUACAACGGACCUUCCCUUUACUUCAGGAGAAAAACAAACAAUGACAAUCAAAGGGGGAAGAAAUUAAACUGCUUGCAAACUGUGUUGUCUAGUGUUUGAGCAAAUAGCUCUUCUUUUAAAUUCACUCGAGUGACGCCAGUCAGGCCGAACAGACCUGCGUUGACAAAGAUAAUGAAGUAGAGGGAAAGAGCUCCAUGGAGUAGUUCCAGGGGUUAACUAGUGUAGCAGGAUAACAACAGCAGUCCAUAGAUAACUAAAGCUAUAAUGAACUACUGGAAAUUUACGGUGGAUUUUCAACGGUAUCUUACAGUAUUUUAUAAUAACUGUAACAUACAGUUAAAUGUUCUUCCCCCGCAUGUAAAUUAACAGUCAAUGCCGUCAAUUAAUCAUAACAGCAGACUACUAUAUUUUAUCAGCAUAAUACAGUAAGUGGUGGAUACACGCUUCUCUAUACGAGUUCAGUGAGUCACGAUCAUCAACAUCGUACUGUCUAUUGUAGAUUAAUGUGUCUGUAAUGACGAUAGAAUAUUUUUAUUGUUCAAACUGCUCAUUGCCUACAAGUCACUUUUGAGUGACAAGACGUGACUGACUGCUCCUGAACGUGACUUUGGACCUCACAGCUUCAGUUCAUCCUUCUGAGCAGAGCCAUGUGGAGAUCAACCGAGGAGCCGAGGUCAACAUAAAUAAAGUUAAUCACCAAUUACAGUGUUAAGAUGUAACGUUAGUAACCUAACUUGUGUUUACUUGUGCUAUUAUUGAACCGAUCAAACUAAUUUCAUUGUUGAACGCUAGUCCAUUGUGGUCCAUUGUCUUAGCUUAAUUUCUUCACCAGUCAAUCAGCUCAUCAUAUAGGGAAGUGGGAGACCCAUCUUUAUAAAGAGGCGUGGCCUAUCGUGUAACCGGAGAUUUCAGAAAAUGAAUCACAACCGGAAGAGAUCUCAGAAGCUGUGUGCGCACUACUUACCCUGUUCCCCUUGUUGUAGUAAGAAACACACACACAGUUCAUGUUUGCCUUUUGAAGACACUGAGUUCAUUAUUUUAUUACUAAAACAGUUCCAGUUGAAACUGAAUUUGAUUUACCCACAACCCUCCAGUAUUGUUACAGGUGUGAUCAACUGCUCCAAUCAGCCAUCAGCUUCUUUCUUUAGAAAGAACCGGUUCUCUCCCCAUCACAGUAAAAAAACACAUUGCAUAUCACCUGAUGAUUUAUGACACAACAGUGUGAGCUACUCGACCUGUUUGCAGUGUCAAAGUCAAACAGAGAACUGGUCUGUUGAGAAACAGGGCGGGGGCAAAAAGUGAGUAGAGACACUGGCUGUUAAUCUAGGGACAGUUGGAUUGUUUGCUGUGAAGAGACACACAAUCUGUGUGUAAAUAGAUGAAAGCAAGAUCUGAAGUGGACUACAGAAAAGAAGUACAAAAACCCAAACAGCUUCAAUGAGGGCUCUGGGGCUUGUCGUCAUUGUAUCCAUUUUGGUGUCCAUGGCACUGGUGAUGAUUAUUCUGAGUCAACAACAAUUGUUGAACACAGUGUACAAGGAAACAGAUAAGCUGCCAAUGGAGUUCGAGAGACUCGGGAAUGAACAAUCACAAUUAGGUACCGCUAAAGUCCUGUUGGAAAAGCUGCUGACUCAGGGGGAAAAAGUAGUGGAGGAUCUGGAGGCUGAGGUGGCCAAAACCGGCCCAGACAUGGAGAAGACGAAAACAGAAGUUGACGCCUGUGAAGCAAGAAAGAAAACAGAAGCAGACGAGCUGGCCGCCAGGGAGAAGGAACUCACAGAGACUGAAGCACCUUUAAAAGCAGAGUCUGACGCCUGGAACCAAGAGAUUACAAAUCUGAAAGCACAAGUGAUAGGGUACAGGCCAAUAUGUGAUUAUGUGAAGGAUGAGGAGAAAGCUAAGACAUCGUGUGGCAUCAAAGCCUAACCUCUCGCCUGAAGAAGAUGGAGUAAGAUCUCAACUCUCAACAAUUGGUAAACUCACUUUUGCCGUUAAAGUUUUAUAUUGAAAAUGAUUACCGGAAGUGUCGCUAUGUUACGUUGUCUAUCGUGACACUAGUGGUGAAGGUACAUGUUGUGGCCACUAGAGGGCCUCACGAUUAUUAAUAAACUGCAUUCUGUUAAAAACUCAAUGGAGGUAAAACUGAGAAAAUCAGCGUAUGGAUUAACAAAGUUUGGUGUUUUUACAUGUCAUGACUACCUAUUUUUUUUAAAGAGAGUUGUAUUGUCAUUUCCCCCUGAUUACCGUCUUACAGUGCAAACUAGUACAACUGCCAGCUAGCAAGAAAGCUAGCGAAUGAAACAAGCAAUGAUGACAUCAAAUGUUCCUGUACCAGUUUUUAUUAUCUAUGUCAUCGUCAAAUUUCAUUUUUGUAGAUUUAUAUAAAAUACGACCGUGUAUUGACUUGCCAUGCUGCUUCUGACUGAGAGCCACAGGUCAGAAGCUUCAUUUAAUGCUAAUAAAACACAUUUUAAAACAAA